GACGAACGCUGGCGGCGUGCUUAACACAUGCAAGUCGAACGGAAAGGCCCUGCUUUUGUGGGGUGCUCGAGUGGCGAACGGGUGAGUAACACGUGAGUAACCUGCCCUUGACUUUGGGAUAACUUCAGGAAACUGGGGCUAUACCGGAUAGGAGCUCCUGCUGCAUGGUGGGGGUUGGAAAGUUUCGGCGGUUGGGGAUGGACUCGCGGCUUAUCAGCUUGUUGGUGGGGUAGUGGCUUACCAAGGCUUUGACGGGUAGCCGGCCUGAGAGGGUGACCGGCCACAUUGGGACUGAGAUACGGCCCAGACUCCUACGGGAGGCAGCAGUGGGGAAUAUUGCACAAUGGGCGGAAGCCUGAUGCAACAACGCCGCGUGCGGGAUGACGGCCUUCGGGUUGUAAACCGCUUUCGCCUGUGACGAAGCGUGAGUGACGGUAAUGGGUAAAGAAGCACCGGCUAACUACGUG
rnacentral:rRNA from 1 species